CUCCCAUAUGGUCGACCUGCAGGCGGCCGCGAAUUCACUAGUGAUUCGUAUUACCGCGGCUGCUGGCACAGAGUUAGCCGGUGCUUAUUCUGUCGGUAACUCAAAACAGCAAAGUAUUAAUUUACUGCCCUUCCUCCCAACUUAAAGUGCUUUACAAUCCGAAGACCUUCUUCACACACGCGGCAUGGCUGGAUCAGGCUUUCGCCCAUUGUCCAAUAUUCCCCACUGCUGCCUCCCGUAGGAGUCUGGACCGUGUCUCAGUUCCAGUGUGACUGAUCAUCCUCUCAGACCAGUUACGGAUCGUCGCCUUGGUGAGCCAUUACCCCACCAACUAGCUAAUCCGACCUAGGCUCAUCUGAUAGCGCAAGGCCCGAAGGUCCCCUGCUUUCUCCCGUAGGACGUAUGCGGUAUUAGCGUCCGUUUCCGAACGUUAU
rnacentral:rRNA from 1 species